UCGCAAAACAGUAAUGGCCAAAGGCUGAGAACGCUGUGCUGCCAUGAAUAUUACUUCUGGGAAUGAGUUAUGAAAAGCGUGUGCUGGGCUGAAGCAUAAAAUGCUGGAUUUCCUAACAAGCUGUCACUGAAG